AAGGAGGCAGGAAGAAGAAAAGGGGGAAGAGCCCCUUAUAAAACCAUCAAAUCUUGUGAGAACUCACUAUACAGAACAGCUUGGGGGAAACUGCCCACAUGAUCCAAGCACCUCCAACCAGGUCUCUCUCUAGUCACAUGGGGAUUAUGGGGAUCACAAUUCAAGAUGACAUUUG